rnacentral:rRNA from 1 species
UACGGGGGGGGCAAGCGUUGUUCGGAAUUACUGGGCGUAAAGGGCUCGUAGGCGGCCAACUAAGUCAGACGUGAAAUCCCUCGGCUUAACCGGGGAACUGCGUCUGAUACUGGAUGGCUUGAGUUUGGGAGAGGGAUGCGGAAUUCUAGGUGUAGCGGUGAAAUGCGUAGAUAUCUGGAGGAACACCGGUGGCGAAGGCGGCAUCCUGGACCAACACUGACGCUGAGUGAGCGAAAGCGUGGGGAGCGAACAGG